rnacentral:lncRNA from 1 species
UGAAACUCAAUAAAAUUUGAAUACUCUCAAAAUGUAAUUACAUAAGUUUAAUCCUGUUGAUAAAACUAAUAUAUUAAGACGACACACAUCUAAGCUAUAUCCGAGAACGCACAUGUUUUGAGAAACAAUACUAUGUCCAUUAUUAAUGGCAACACAGAUCAUACCGAUAACGGAUUUAAUUCCGGAAAACUUAACUAUAACAAAAGAAAAAA